rnacentral:rRNA from 1 species
GACAGAGGUCCCAAGCGUUAGGCGGAAUCACUGGGCUUAAAGCGUGUGUAGGCGGAUGUCUAAGUACCUUGUGAAAUCCCACGGCUCAACCGUGGAACUGCUUGGUAUACUGGAUGUCUUGAGCCAUCUAGGGGCUACUGGAACAAAUGGUGGAGCGGUGAAAUGCGUAGAUAUCAUUUGGAACGCCAAUGGUGAAAACAGGUAGCUGGGGCUGUACUGACACUGAGACACGAAAGCCAGGGGAGCAAACGGG